GUAGUAUUUUUAAGUCAGUGUCGAAUGUACUAGAAAAAUGGUCCCGCGCUCGCAUCGUGUCACCGCGUACCAGCUAGCUGCGAUGGUUCCCACACACACUCAUCGCCAUCGCGAUGUAAUGGAGUGCUCUACCCGGUACCCGCCAUACAAAUGUACUGUUGGAGAACCAGCUGAGACGACGUUGCACAUUAUAUGCAUGCAAGAAGCGCGGUGAAUUAAAUUGUGAAAGUGGAUUGUUCGAUGGUGAUGCGAUGUCUGAUAAUUAUCUUGUCAUAUCAAACACAUCCUUUGAGCGCCUUCACAACAAAAUCAGAGCCUUCAUGUCAAAUUAGACAUGAUUUUGGACAACCAAAAAGAGGAGUUGUGCCUCUUGAGGAAAGUGGCCAGGCUCCGAGCUCCUGAUGAUGAGGACAUCGAAGAAUUUACUCCAAAACCUCUGGAAACUGUCGCAGAACUGGAGGACCUAUGUGAAAAGCUGAAUUCUCCUGAAGAGGCCAACUUGAAAUAACAGAUGAUUUGUCACUUUACUUCCAUGGGAGGCUACAACCUUGGCGAGAGUGUCUGCCGCAUGCUACGCAGGCUAGGGACAAAUAUGCUGUGGUCCCUUUACAGCUACAAGGGACGAAAGGGGAAAAGAGCUCUGAGCGAUCUUCAAAUCUCCCGGGUGUUAAUCAAAGCCUGUCUGAGUGCCCACCCAUAAAGCCGAGUCUUGGAAAUUGAAGAAACCAUCCAAGAGACUCUCAAGUACUGCCCAAACCGAAAGGGUGGGGCAAAGUACAAGAAUCCUGAUGCCAACACGAUCGCAACACCAGAUGAGGCCACCACCGACUUUGAUGACUAGCCCAACUGAAAAUGAUUGGUAACAACACCCCCCCCCCCC